CGGAGGAUGUACGGUGAAGAGAUUUCGGUCAAAUCAUGUGCAUCUUUAGUGGCGGACGGGUGAGUAACGCGUGGGUAACCUGCCUUACACAGGGGGAUAACACUUAGAAAUAGGUGCUAAUACCGCAUGAGCGCACAGGACCGCAUGGUCGAGUGUGAAAAACUGAGGUGGUGUAAGAUGGACCCGCGUCUGAUUAGCUAGUUGGUGAGGUAACGGCCCACCAAGGCGACGAUCAGUAGCCGGCCUGAGAGGGUGAACGGCCACAUUGGGACUGAGACACGGCCCAAACUCCUACGGGAGGCAGCAGUGGGGGAUAUUGGACAAUGGGGGGAACCCUGAUCCAGCGACGCCGCGUGAGUGAAGAAGUAUCUCGGUAUGUAAAGCUCUAUCAGCAGGGAAGAAGAAAUGACGGUACCUGAGUAAGAAGCCCCGGCUAACUACGUGCCAGCAGCCGCGGUAAUACGUAGGGGGCAAGCGUUAUCCGGAAUUACUGGGUGUAAAGGGAGCGUAGACGGUGAUGUAAGUCUGGAGUGAAAGGCGGGGGCCCAACCCCCGGACUGCUCUGGAAACUAUGUGACUGGAGUGCAGGAGAGGUGAGCGGAAUUCCUAGUGUAGCGGUGAAAUGCGUAGAUAUUAGGAGGAACACCAGUGGCGAAGGCGGCUCACUGGACUGUAACUGACGUUGAGGCUCGAAAGCGUGGGGAGCAAACAGGAUUAGAUACCCUGGUAGUCCACGCCGUAAACGAUG
rnacentral:rRNA from 1 species